rnacentral:rRNA from 1 species
UACAGAGGUCCCGAGCGUUGUUCGAAUUCACUGGGCGUAAAGGGUGCGUAGGCGGUCGGAUAAGUCUGACGUGAAAUGCCGGAGCUCAACUCCGGAACGGCGUUGGAAACUAUUCGGCUCGAGGAUUGGAGGGGGGACUGGAAUUCUCGGUGUAGCAGUGAAAUGCGUAGAUAUCGAGAGGAACACCUGUGGCGAAGGCGAGUCCCUGGACAAUUCCUGACGCUGAGGCACGAAAGCUAGGGGAGCAAACAGGAUUAGAUACC